CAAAAAAUGCUGGUGUGAAGGGUUCUACUAUUGCUGGCUAUGUCAUCUAGAAAUGAACCUGCUAUGUCAGCGAAGAUUCUUAAUAAAGCUGGUUGGAUGUUAUCGGACCAGACUGGUAGAGUAAAGAGCUUUAAACUAAGGGCUGGUCGAAUUUGUGUGCAUGUUGGCAUGCUUUUAGCAACCUGUGGAGAGGAUUUAGGACUGUGUUGGCUUGUUCGGGUCUUGGUGAAAGUUUGGUCAACACGAAGAGC